GUAUAUGUGAAUUUUUCUGUUUUUUUUUUUUUACCAUUCAUUUAUCUUAUUUUUACAAAAUUUUAUUGUGCAUAAGUCACACGCGUGUGUAAUAUACAGCUUUUCAAACGUCACGACGUGAUUGUUCACUUCCUGCAAAAGUUGAACCGUCUCCCUGUCGCGUGUACUUUUAUUUUUCGUUUCACGGGGUCCGUUCUUUUUUUUUGUAAAAAUCGGCGUUCGAUAAGUUAUAGCGGUUGAUUUUUGUGCGGCUAUUCCCUUGAUUUUUCGAUUAUCGGUUAUUUUAUUUUAUCGACUACGCAUGGCUGGUUUGACGAUAAUAUAUUUCAUAAAUCCGCAACCGUUUUGCAAUAAUUAUUUUUCAUUAUGAACUGACAGUUGCAAUUACAGUGAGAGACCAGCAAUUAGAGCGUCACAUCGGUUGAAUAGAAAAUAGUGACGUUGAUAUAAUUUGCAAAAAAAUAAGAAAAUCAAUUGCAGUCAAGUGUGUCGCAAAUUGGAGAAAAAAAAAAAAAAAAAAAACAAACAAAACGAUAGAAACAAAUAGAAUAAAAUAAUUAAAUGAUGAGAAAAAAACGAAGACUAUAAGCUGGCGAGUGCAAAAAUGUCGAUCGGUUAUAAUUGCGGAGAAUCUAGUAUGAUUGUUCUUUCCGGUUUAUACGUGUGUGUGUGUGUGAUGAAUUUCAUUUUAUAAAAUGGCACAACGACGUUCCGAGAAUAUAUAUAUAUUUAUACGGUGGUUGGGUUUUUGACUCCCCUCGAUUUUCUGGAACUCGUUGAUGUUUUUAACAUUGUUUCCGUUUCGCGGCAUCUUUGACCGAACUCCUGUGAUAAUGCGCUCGAGCGGCGCGAGUUCGUUUCAAUUAUCAUUUCAGCAAACUCGACUAAUAAUUUAAUUAUUGCUGAAGAUAAAAAUAUACGAACUAUCAGAAUUUUUUACGAGGUCAACUCCGUAAUGCACGCGUGUACGUGGAGUGUAACGCGGGACUUCCAUAUAUACACACAUAUACGUAUAUUACUCGGGCGAGUUAUUAUUUCACCCGAAUCUUUAAAUAAUAAUACUAAAAACGGCCUCUGCUACGUAUAUUAUAACUUUUACCGGAAUGGCCUGGUCAUAAUGGGUAGCAUAAGCAGUUUGGAAAGUCGUCCGUACGAUAUAGCCGGAAGGCAACACGCACGAUAUUAUAAAGGUGGCCGUAGCCCAGAUCCGCGUCACGAGAAAUAACGAAUAUCAUUACAAUCGUGAUACUUGUGUGUAUAUCAUAUAAUACGUAAACGUGUACGUAAGAAUUUCUUUUCAUUUUUCUCUCUUCUACCUUUUCUCGUUCAAAAUUUUUUAUUCAAUUUCUCAAAAAUUGACGACGCAGUUCAAACUGCACACGUCACAAGAAACAAUGGGAAUCUCCAAGUUUUUAUCCUUUUUUGAGUAGGCUACGAUUCUGGAUCAUCAAACUGAAUUGAAUCUUCGUCCCCAUCGUUCGUUCCGAUUAUUUUUAACCCACGAUACGUCGUAACGCUAAAAAAUAAAGAAAAAAAAAAAACUCACCCUGUGUGUGGAUUUUGAUAUCAUGCGGUUGGUUUUUUUAUCCGAUUCUUUUUUUUUUUUUUUUGGUUUUUCACUUUAAGUAUGGUCACGAAGUUUCUUAACUGCAACACAGCCCGCAGCGAUAUACUUUACAUAUACCGAUGUACAUAGUUGUAUAGAUAUAUAUAUAGAUAUAUAAUAAGGACGCGGUGAUCAGCGGCAAUAAAAUCCACAUUACAUAACUUCAUCUUGCCUUAUAAUAACGCGUAAACACUGGCGCAUACAAAUGUGAAUGAAAAAAAAGAAAAAUCAAGUUACACGUGUACAGGUUUCGAUGCAGGUACGUGCAUAUACGUUACGUACGUCGCGCGUAUCCGUAUUACGUACCUGUAUGUAUGAAAAUUUAUGAAACUUCCUUAAUUCUGCACACCUGUUUUUUUACACGUACACGUAAACGUUUUCAACCAGCUGUGUGGAAAUAAUUUACCGAAUAAUUUUUCAAAAUCGAAAGAUAAGUGAAAAAAAAAAAGAAGAAGAAGAAGAAGGAGAAGGAGUGUACGACUCGACGCAGUCGUGUCGAGAGAAAAAGAGAGAAAGAAAAGAGAAAAAAAUUUGUGUGAACAUCAGUCGGAGGUUAAUCAGGUUUAUUAUAUCUCACGUAUAAAAAGCGUCAGUAUUUUUUCUCCUUUCUCUUUUUAUCUUUUUCCAUAUUAGCCACGUGUAUUAUAUUCUCGAUUAUCUACGAUAACUGUGUUCUUAGGGUCACGCCCCCCCUUCCCAUCAAUCCCGUCAGUUACUCUAAUUUUCAUCUUUGACCGCACGUUUCUCCGCUCGUUUAAUUCCUCGACUUCAUAUUGUAUACAUGUAUAUUCACGAAUCGGACACCCGAUUCGACUCCUCCGUCGAAACUCGAUCGUACGAAUCGAGGGGAUUUCUUCGCGUUGCACAGGCGAAAUUACAACAACGGUGGACCCGCGGAUCUUCAUCUCGGAUCGCAUUACAUUUUGUAAAUUACAUUAUUAUUACCUUCGUAUAUACAGCUGGGGCGUCAUUUAAAAAGGCGAAAGGGAAUUAAAGUCGAGCUUUUGUCCGAUGGUAAAUUUUUUUUUCAUUUUUUUUCUUUCUUUCUCUGUUUUAUUUCAUUCGGGCGCGACGUAUAGCGCGGCGUCGCCUCAUUCCUGAGUAAUCGUUGGACGCCGGUACGAGUUAUCCUGGGCCCGUAAGAAUUCUCUCUCUCUCUCUCUCGGGUCUCCUCAUGAGAAGAUCCCCUCGACACCGGGAGACCGCCAUUUUCUAAAUGUUCGUUGUAUAUAGGGUCCCGUACAAGAGAUAUAACUGGUUUUCAUUUGACUUUCUUAUAUACCAUGUGCCACACCUCUGCCCCCAUGAUCGAUGCGCAUUGGGAUAUAUUUUAUUUCUCUUCUUAUAAUUUCAAUUUCCAAUCUAAUCCCCAUUAAUCAAUGUUACCGAUUGAAGAAAAAAAAACAAUAAUGAAACGAAUGAAAAAAUAAUUAUCAAAAGCGAUUGGGAACCGAAAUAGGUAUACGUGUUCCGAGGUCAGGGGUUCGAAAAUUUGAUGUAAAAUUUGAAUGAAUUAUUGUAAAACUAUUUUUGCUUUUUUCGAAUAAAUUAUCUAUUAAUUUUUUAUUCGAGAGAGCGCGUUCGACUCGGGAUUUGAGAUCGAAGAAGAAGGGAUGUCGUUGCCCCUCGUAAUUUCAAGUCUAACGUAACGAUAAUUCUUCGACUAAACUUAGCCGCAUGGUUCAAUAAGUGAGUUAUUUCAUCGGAUUAAAACGUCUUGCACCGUGCGUUCCGGGAAGGCGUUGCAGUCGCUUACGCGGUAUGCGAUGAAUUAAAUUUAGGUUACCGCAAUGAUUACAGCGAAUUUCUGGGAUCCGGAGGUUGACGUACUUCGCCAUCCAACGAAUCACACGUGAUGCAAUUACGUCCGUUCAACGCGCUCCAGUCGAACGCCGGGGCCGAAUGACGCUCUCGAUUUUCAAAUUUCCAACAGAUCCUAUGCGACUCCAUCCGAUACGUCGUUUAAUUUUUCCAUCGCUAGACGUCGUAACGUCAACGUGUCGCCUGUUCGUAUAUCAUUUAUCUCGUCGCGUAACAUAUUUACAGAGAAUGCAAAAAAAAAAAAAACAAAAAACAAAAAACGCCCAUGAAAACAUAAAGAAUUAACAAAAAAUAAGCACGGAAAAAAAAAAAGGCACUGAGAUGCGCAUAGCUUGUCUGACAAGUAGUUCGCGUGACGAGUAUACUUACACAUUAGUUGAGAGGGUUUAAUCACUGUCCAACGAUCUGCGAGAGAUAACACUGACUACGUUUUAAUUACUCCAGUGCACCGGGGAACGCGAGCGCAUACGUACAUAAUGUACGAUACACAAAUUUUACGUAAAAUAUUGCACACAUUUUAUCUGUUCGUAAUUAUUCGCGACAGACGCAGCGAACGAUAGUGGCGUAGAAAAAUAAUAAAAUUGAAAAGAAAAAAAAAGGAACGAAAGAAAAAUGCAGAAUGCGAAAUGAUCGGACGGUUCACCGACCGAUCGGAUCGUUUCCAAGGUUCGCGAAAAAACGAACGAAUCUAAGAAAAGUGUGAAUUUUUUUUUCUCGUUCGCAGACGUAGUUUCAAUAAUAGUUUCAUCGGAAUUUGCAUCGGUUCGAAUACCGGCGCUAUACCGAUCCGCGUGAAAUGUGUGUAUAUAUACCUGUGUGUGCGCCGCGAUUAUUAUCUCCGACCUCGGAAUUUUUGAUCGCGUGUUCGCGGGGUUUUUUUUUCUCUUCACAAAAAUUCACGCGGAAAGCCACCGUUCGCGAGCGUCGAUUCUAAGAUCUACGAUUCGAAUUCCACCUUCUUUUUGUGAGGAAAUUAUUUAUACAGCUGAUCUCUGUACGGACACUGUAUAGGUACGUAAGCAAGGCGUGCAACGAACUCGAUGGGCAAUAAAUCCAAUCUCUCGAUCCACGAGCGAUUACGUUGUACAACCUUUGGAAAAAAAAUCAUACAGGUCAUUCCACGUCCCUUAUCACUCUCAUUUUUCAUUAGCGAUUUUUUCUUUCCUCUCCCGCGACGACAGAAAAAAAUCCCAUUGACGAAAAAUUUACACCAGAUCGUUGGAAAAUUGUGUACAUUGAUUUGAUCGUGAAGAGAAGAGGAAAUUCCGAAGAGUGGAAAGAGAAAGAAUUUUCGUUUCUGAACUGCCGUAAAACGAGAAGGAAAACAAAUCGCAAAACGAAGUGGCGGAAGUUCCGGUCCACGCGAGAGGCCCAUCGGGACGAAUUUUCGAACGUAAGCAGCGUAGAUAAGCUGAGAAACUUACGGGGAUCGGAGGAAUACGUAGUAGGCGAGUCCUCCGUAGCAUCGGCAACGGAGUAAAUAUAUAUUGAAACAAGUAGGUGUAUCGCGCCUGUUCGCGAGCGGUCGCGCCUCGUUCCCACGUCCCAAGGAAUCGUAGAGCCCGGGAGUAUCCAAACGGGGAUAAUUAUGGUCCGGACCGACGUCGCGGUGUGCGAGGGCACUUCGGUUGGCCGCUGCUGCCGCUGCUCCUACCGCUGCUGCUGCUGCUGCUGCUGCUGCUGCAGGAAUUACCCGAGCCCACUUCUAUUCCACAUACAAUAAGUCCGAAGCACGUUGAAAACCGUCUAGGAAAUUUAUCCCCCGCUUAUUCCUCGGACACGACCGAGCCGCGAGCAGCCGAUCGUCGAAAAAUAAAAAAUCCUAAUGAAAGUAGAGGGAGAAAAAAAAGGAAACGAAAAAAUUAAUAAGAAACGAAACGAACAGUUUCAUUCAAGUUUCAACAUAUAUAUAUUAUAAUACGUGCGUUGGUACGUACCUACCUUACGGAAUCUAUGGGUAUGUACAUCGUAUAUACGUAUAUGUGAUGUGCGUGAUGGAGAACACAGAUGUUUGACGUUUAUUCACAAUUUUUGGAGAAUAUUAUGCCGUAAUAUUUCGUGCGCUGUGUAUAUGUAUGUAUGUAUAUAUCGAAAUUAUAAAGUCAAAGUUCGUACGGAUCUGAAAUAAUUUUGUACGAGGGUCGACUCAGUUUUUACAUAGGGUAAGUGUGUGCUCGUAAUAGCCAUUGUACGUACACGCAUUGAGUAAUUAGAAGUGUUUAGGUAGGGUGAUGAUUAUUUUCCAACUGUAUAAUACAUCGCAGAUCCGGAGGUAACGCGUAGCAAUUAAGGGCUAGUUGUACGAAUGAGGUAUCGCGUCGCGCCUCUAAGCGUAAUAAACUUCAUCAUCAUCAUCGUCGUCGUCAUUAUCAUUAUCGUCAUUAUCACCGUACCGAGUGGGUUACACGUAUACGGUAUACCUACAUUGUAUUAUUCCAGGACAUACUAACAACGUAUCAAAAAACCGAACCCAACGGAGCUGCACGAGAAAAAAAAAGGCACCUCGACAAGAUCUGCGUUACAUUCGUACGAAAAUAAUCUGAAUUCAUAAAAUUUUUCAUAAGUUUGUUGUUUUUUUUUUUUUUCUUUUAGUCUUCUCGUUACCGCGGAUAUUAUCUGUACACCAUAACCGCUCUAAUUGCAACGACUAAUAAUUAGCCAGGUACCUACUUUUGUAAACAUUUUUUUUUCAAGAUACAGGUAUAAAAGAAACCUUCGUCGGUCAUUACGGUUGUGGCGGUAUAGGUAGAGUGGCGUUACGUAUACCAACGUAACUCGGAAACGUGUGCGAAACACGCGAUCUCAGGUAUUUUUUCCCCAUAAAUAAAUAAAAUAGAUAUCGUUGGUCGUGUACGCGGUGACUUUUUUUUUACAAAUAUAAAAAUUUUUGAAACGUUAAAAAUAACCGGUUCGGUUCGAGGCAAUGGGUAUAUUUAUCACACGAUUUUACGAAGGAAUUAAACACGAGUUACGAUCUGCACCGAUCGCUUAAUUUUAUCGCCGUUACACAGAGAAAAUGAUAAAAAAAAAAAAUAAUUAAUGGCACAAAAAUUUCAAUCCACCGACACGAAGCGUUUGGAAAAAAAAAUUGGUGUGUCUGUCGCAUCGGAAAGAACGGUGCACGGAAAAUGGACGAUGAUCAUCGGGCGUAUUGUGGUAGAAGUGUACAUACACCGCAGGGGAUAUAAUGUGCAGUGAUUAUCUUGUAAAGUAGAGGAGCUACGACGCGUACUUUGUUCGUGACAAUUUUCUCCCUACACCGCAGAAUACAAACGUUAUAAACUGUGUACCGUGUCUCGUGUACCUUACUGAUAUAUCGUGACACGUAAACGCGCGGCAAAGAUUAGGAUUAUAUUAUUAACCCCCUUAAUUCAGCCUUCAUGCGCGUUAAUCUAGUACGAUUCUAAUCCGAGCGAGAUAAUAUUCCGGGCAUUCGCUUUUUGAGAAUUGUGACAGAUUUCGUUUGAGAUUUGUUGUUGUUUUUUUUUUUCAAUUCUAGUCGAGGCAAAAAAAAAAGGGAAAUAACUGAGACACUUUCUCCGACGGACGCAGCGGUACAGAGUUGCGAUUCGGGCAGCGAAGUAAUUCAGGAAACGUCCAGACUCGUACAUAUCGUUAACGGGUUUGGUUAUAUUGCCGUGAGAGCGCGGGUGAUAUAAUAAAAAAAAGUCCUUGACAAAAUAGUAGAAAAAUUUGGCUUUGAGUGACACACACGAAACGUACCUAUAGUAUAGCGCGUGUCGCGUGCGUUUUUUCAUACCGCACACGUACCGAUGUUAAAAAAAUAGCGAAAAUAUUCAGAGAAAUGAAGAAACUAGAGAGUCGGAAUUUUUUCCAUCGGUAUUUGCAGAGGUUUUUUUUCGACCGAGAGUUUUCAAGUUCAGCCGGACAGUCCGCGGUCCCUAUAGCGGGUUCAUUACGACGGGUUAAUUAGAGAAAAAUUGCCGGGCAAAUUUUCAACUCGUGCGCGGUGGUGGGCCCUUUCGAGGUGGAGCAACGGCAGGCAGGCAGGCAGAAUCGGCCACUCGGAUGACCACCAGAGUGGAAAGAUUACGAAGCGAGCGGAUGCGGAUGAGCCAGAGGAUGAAUGAAGAACGGAGAAUGGCGAGUGAUGGAGGUCCGCCGUUCGGAUCGAGCAAAACGUAAGACGCACACGCGUUCGAAGUGUCUCGAGAGAGAGAGACGAAGUGGGAGAGAAGGAAAGAAAGAAAGAAGAAAAAAAAACGAUGAAAAGUCGAAACGACCGGCCAUUUUUUGAAAAUAGGGAAAGAAAAUUUUCAUCAUACCAUGGAACGUCUCGCUCGAUAAAAUAGCGGCGUAAAAACUUGUGAAUUAAAAAUUCCACAAGUUUUUCCUUAAGAAUCGGGCGUAGCAAAUUUCAUGAAAUUACCUGCACGAAGAAGCAUCAGAUUUAUUCCAGAUAACAUUAUACCAUGCGAAUCCAUCGUAUCCUGUGCGCCAUAUCCAUGGGAUUCGCGUAACGUUCCUCGCUAUUGAUGGUAAAUACUGAUCCAUUUCUGACGCAGCUGUUGAAGCUCGAGGGAUUUUUUUUUUCUCUACAGCGGCGGUACGAGGCGGACGCGAUUGCUCGAUUAAUUCCACCUCGUGGUGCUGCACAUUACGGUAUUACGGUCUCUCGGAAUCCGGUACACGAUCGAUAAAAUCUUUCCUCUUACAGUCUGGCCUCCGCCGUACAUCGCGGAAUGAAUGAGCGAUCGAGCAACGAAUCGCACAGUCGGGUUGUUUGAAAAUUGAAACGCGAAUCGACGAAAAAAAAAAAAAAGGAUUUUCUCUCUUUCUUUCCCUCGCGAUUUUCCAAAGCAUAGUUUCGUUUUCGAAUAAGAUACGAAAAAUAAAAUACUGCUGACGAAGCGGCAAUCCCGUUUCAACGAUUCUUCGCGGUCUGCCUCUGCUACAUAUACGGUGAGGUAAGUACCGCUGAAAAUUCCGAAAAUGGCGAACGCCCGAAGAUCCGGUGGAAGUGGCGAAGAGAAAAGGAACGGUAUUUGAGAAAAAAAAAAAAAAAAAAAAAACGAAACGAACAAGAUGGAGAGAUACAGAGUCGGAAAACGAGGGUAGGUACCAGAUAUAGCCUAGGCUACGACGUGACCGCGAAAGAAUCGAUGCGAACUUUUGCACAGGCGACGACUGUACGUAGCCCCACUCGGGUUUGCUGACUCGGUGUUUUCGUAAUUCCUUUUUCACGAAACAUUAGGCAUCGCCGCUUAUCCGAUCUUUUUCAUUUUUUUUCUCUCCACCCGUUUUCCGUCGUCCACCUAUUUCUUCACACCGGCUAGGCUCCUCGACUUUUCUUCGCCCUCACCUGAACGGUAUGGAUCUUGGGAAUUUUUUUUUUUUCCUUUCAAAAUUUAUUCAAGUUUAUUCGAAGUGUUCAAAUAUUUAGAUCCUCCGGUCGUAGAGCUUCCGCGGUCCGAAAAUCGUUGACAAACGAACGGACGAACUGAAAUGCGGUGGGAUUUCCAUAAACGACGCUCGAACGAACGGCUACUGUGCUAUUUUUUCCCUUCUUCGUAGUGGGAAAAGUCGGACAACAAAAGCUGAUAGGAAAAAAAAGGAUGAGGGAGAGAAAAAAAAGAAUACACACCCGUGAAAACGGACCGCUCCACUUGAACGGAGAGAGAGCAAACAGCUCCAUAAAAAGUCCCUUAUAUUCCUGCAGAUCCGAUAGCCCGGUGCGGGUGAAUAAGUCCAGGGGGUUCAUCUAUACUAUCCUAUAAAAUUCACCCCGCGGUGAUCUCAUGAAGAAAUAAAAA